AGUCAGAACAGAGGGAGAGUAGAGUGUCAGAACAGAGGGAAAGAGAGAGAGGGAAUGGAGAGACUCAGAACAGAGGGAAAGAGAGAGAGAGGGAGGGUAGAUGUGUGGAAUUUGCUUUAUGUUUGGUAAUUGGGGGCCUUUGAGCCCUGAUGGGCUGGGUGACAUCAGUGACUCUCUGAGAGAUAUGAGCUGCUGAGGAGAGCAAGAGAGAGAGAAAGGGAGAGAUUAGUCAGCAGAAAUGAUUCAGGACGACGUUCGUCUGAGGAAGAUAAAGGACACACAGACAGACAGACAGACAGACAGACACGAGGGCUAGGUAAUCAGGUAUUCCUCCCAAGGUGUGUAUAUUGAUUUUAGUUCCCUUCUCAUUAACUAGCUACUGACAGUGACCAGAGAUGGCUAGAUUGAGCUAGAGGGGUGUGUGUGUGUGUGCGGGUGUGUGUGUGUGUGUGCGUGCAAGCGUGUGUUUUUGUGAGAGAGUUAACAGGACUUUCAAUAAGAAUGACACACACAGCUCUGAUUCCAUUUUCUGCUUUGUGUUUCAAUGAGGUCUUAGUGGAAUAGUGACUCUCUGAGAGAUACGAGUUGCUGUGUAAACUUUUGUUAUUGACCAAAUACGUAUUUUCCACCAUAAUUUGCAAAUAAAUAAAUAAAAAAUGUGAUUUUCUGGAA